UCUUAUGGUUCAUGACCAAUAUGGUCCUCAAAUUAUUGCUCUAGUAUCAUUUUGGUCCACCAACUAAAAUUUUCAUUUCAAUUGUCAUUCAAUUAUUAAUUUGGUAUCAAAAUUGUCCUGUAGUCAAAGUCUGUCAACUAUUCCGUGAAAUUGAAGGGCAAAAUCGUCUUUUCAGGGCAUUCCAACCUCUCCCUCUUUCUCUCUCUUUGACGAUUCGACAGCCACCAACCCCAACCGAUCGCAGCCCACCCCAGGAUCCUCUCUCUGUCUCUUCCCCCUGAGCUUUCGAGUGAAGUUCCUGUAGAAUUGGCUCUGUCAUUGAAUCAGAUCUUGUAUGGUCUGCUAGAUUUCAACACCCAUGUAAUUGAGGCCGUCGCUGCUAUUGGAAAGGGAGCUGCUAAGCGAGCUAGGCUGCAGCUGGGGAAUUCUUAUUUUUGGUUGAAGGGUUGAAGCAAUGGUGCCAUGGUGGGUUGGCAGAGGAAUCUACAGUCCCUAAUCAGUCAUAUUGGUAAAAGAGUAUCUGAUGCAAACUUUUCUUCUUCUUCUCAUUUUCAAAGACUAUGGAGACAAUCUCCUCAAAUCUUUGUAACGCCUCUUUAUCACUACUUUCAGCGUUUGGUAAUCACAAUACUUUUCAAUUUUAAGACUUGAUUUUUUUUCUCUUUCUUUCAAUUUCAACUUCAGUUUCAAUUGUCACAACUUCUAUUUCGAAUUGUCACCUUUUUUUUUUUUUUUUUUGUCUUUGUUUUCGCUAUCAAAGGGGAUUUCUAGUCCAAGGAACUUGCUUGCAGAUUUGUCCGUUGAAUCAGAUGGUGAAAGUAACGAAGAACACAACCAGAAACUGCUAAACCCUCACAAGUUCAAUCUGUUUGAAGGUUUCCAAGAGAUUCUAAGUUUUUUUUUUUUAGGAAUAUUUUUGAACCAUCUGGACAUUAAGCAUAUCUUCUCUUAGGUGGGACAGUUGAAAUCUAGUUAGCAUGUACAGCCCAUUAGUCUAAGAUGUUUGGUUUUGCUUUUUAGGGUACUGCCCAAAAAAGAGAAGAAGAUGAAGACUAAUAUGGAAUUCGAUUGGCUUUGAGGGUACUGCCCUAAAAAGACGAUUUUGCCCUUGAAUUUAACGGCAAAA